GAUGAACGCUAGCGGCAGGCCUAACACAUGCAAGUCGAGGGGCAGCACAGAAACAGCAAUGUUUUGGUGGCGACCGGCGGACGGGUGCGUAACGCGUAUGCAACCUACCUUUAACAGGGGGAUAACGGAGAGAAAUUUCCACUAAUACCCCAUAACAUCGAUCAAGGCAUCUUGAUUGGUUGAAAACUCCGGUGGUUAAAGAUGGGCAUGCGUUGUAUUAGGUAGUUGGUGAGGUAAUGGCUCACCAAGCCUACGAUACAUAGGGGGACUGAGAGGUUAGCCCCACACACUAAUACUGAGACGCGGACCAGACUCCUACGGGAGGCAGCAGUGAGGAAUAUUGGUCAAUGGGGGCAACCCUGAACCAGCCAUGCCGCGUGCAGGAAGACGGCUCUAUGAGUUGUAAACUGCUUUUAAACAGGGAUAAAGCACAGUAUGUAUACUGUGUUGAAGGUACUGUAAGAAUAAGGAUCGGCUAACUCCGUGCCAGCCGCCGCGGUAA
rnacentral:rRNA from 1 species